rnacentral:rRNA from 1 species
UACGAAGGGGGCUGGCGUUGCUCGGAAUCACUGGGCGUAAAGCGCACGUAGGCGGCUUUCUAAGUCAGGGGUGAAAUCCUGGAGCUCAACUCCAGAACUGCCUUUGAUACUGGAGAGCUCGAGUCCGGAAGAGGUGAGUGGAACUGCGAGUGUAGAGGUGAAAUUCGUAGAUAUUCGCAAGAACACCAGUGGCGAAGGCGGCUCACUGGUCCGGUACUGACGCUGAGGUGCGAAAGCGUGGGGAGCAAACAGG